rnacentral:rRNA from 1 species
AGCGAACGCUGGCGGCAGGCUUAACACAUGCAAGUCGAGCGGGCGUAGCAAUACGUCAGCGGCAGACGGGUGAGUAACGCGUGGGAACGUACCUUUUGGUUCGGAACAACACAGGGAAACUUGUGCUAAUACCGGAUAAGCCCUUACGGGGAAAGAUUUAUCGCCGAAAGAUCGGCCGCGUCUGAUUAGCUAGUUGGUGAGGUAACGGCUCACCAAAGGCGACGAUCAGUAGCUAGUCUGAGAGGAUGAUCAGCCACAUUGGGACUGAGACACGGCCCAAACUCCUACGGGAGGCAGCAGUGGGGAAUAUUGGACAAUGGGGGCAACCUCGAUCCAGACCAUGCCGCGUGAGUGAUGAAGGCCCUAGGGUUGUUAAAGACUCUUUGUUGCGGGAAGAUAAUGACGGUACCGCAAGAAUAAGA